rnacentral:rRNA from 1 species
AUUGGACAAUGGGGGCAGACCUGAUCCAGCAAUGCCGCGUGUGUGAAGAAGGCUUUCGGGUUGUAAAGCACUUUUGUCCGGGAAGAGAAAAUCGUCGUGGCUAAUACCCGUGGCGGAUGACGGUACCGGAAGAAUAAGCACCGGCUAACUACGUUGCCAGCAGCCGCGGUAAUACGUAGGGUGCAAGCGUUAAUCGGAAUUACUGGGCGUAAAGCGUGCGCAGGCGGUUCGCUAAGACAGAUGUGAAAUCCCCGGGCUUAACCUGGGAACUGCAUUUGUGACUGGCGGGCUAGAGUAUGGCAGAGGGGGGUAGAAUUCCACGUGUAGCAGUGAAAUGCGUAGAGAUGUGGAGGAAUACCGAUGGCGAAGGCAGCCCCCUGGGCCAAUACUGACGCUCAUGCACGAAAGCGUGGGGAGCAAACAGGAUUAGAUACCCUGGUAGUCCACGCCCUAAACGAUGUCAACUGGUUGUCGGGCCUUCAUUGGCUUGGUAACGUAGCUAACGCGUGAAGUUGACCGCCUGGGGAGUACGGUCGCAAGAUUAAAACUCAAAGGAAUUGACGGGGACCCGCACAAGCGGUGGAUGAUGUGGAUUAAUUCGAUGCAACGCGAAAAACCUUACCUACCCUUGACAUGUACGGAACCCUGCUGAGAGGUGGGGGUGCCCGAAAGGAGAGCCGUAACACAGGUGCUGCAUGGACUGUCGCCAGUCUCGUGUCGUGAGA